CCUACGGGGGGCAGCAGUGAGGAAUAUUGGUCAAUGGUCGGGAGACUGAACCAGCCAAGCCGCGUGAGGGAUGAAGGUACAGAGUAUCGUAAACCUCUUUUGUCAGGGAACAAAGGCGGGGACGUGUCCCCUUAUGAAUGUACCUUAAGAAAAAGCAUCGGCUAACUCCGUGCCAGCAGCCGCGGUAAUACGGAGGAUGCGAUCGUUAUCCGGAUUUGUUUGGUUUAAAGGGAGCGCAGGGGGCUGGUUAAGUCAGCGGUAAAAUCCCGGGGCCAAACCCCGGCCCGCCGUUGAAACUGGCAGUCUAGAGUUGGAGAGAAGUAUGUAGAAUGCGCGGUGUAGCGGUGAAAUGCAUAGAUAUCGCGCAGAAUUCCGAUUGCGAAGGCAGCAUGCCGGCUCAACACUGACGCUGAGGCACGAAAGCGUGGGUAGCGAACAGGAUUAGAUACCCGUGUAGUC
rnacentral:rRNA from 1 species